GAUUCCCCUAGUAACGGCGAGUGAACAGGGAAAAGCCCAGCACCGAAGCCUGUGGCCACUUGGCUACAAGGCAAUGUGGUGUUUAGGUCGUCUCGCGGAGACAUCGCUUCACCCGAAGUCCAGCAAUGAGUAUGGUCAACAGGACUUGGCCCAGAGAGGGUGAAAGGCCCGUGCGGGUGGAGAUCAGGUAUGUCGAUGUUUCUCUGAGUAGACCUUGGAGUCGGGUUGUUUGUGAAUGCAGCCCAAAGCGGGUGGUAAACUCCAUCCAAGGCUAAAUACUUACACGAGUCCGAUAGCGAACAAGUACCGUGAGGGAAAGUUGAAAAGUACUUUGAAGAGAGAGUAAACAGUGCGUGAAACCGCUCAGAGGUAAACGGGUGGAGUUGAACUGCAAGCCCUGAGAAUUCAGCCUGUGAGGAUGUACAUGAGUUUGGGCAUUCCGGUCGACUGCUGAAGUCUGCUGAAUCGGCGGGUCUGGCAAUCUCGGUUGUCGGAUGUGCGUGGUGCUUUUCAAGUGCUGCAUGCUUCUGUCCCACACAGUCUAAGGGCCGACUCGCAGGUGCACUUUCUCAGGGUCAACACCACGACCGGCGCUGCUGUCCGUCUGCCAUGGUUAAACCGUGCAGGCUCGAUCCUUGUGGUCUUGUCUGUGCGGGUUGGCAGGUAGCUUGCUGGUUUGUGUCAGCCGGGGUAACUCGACUGAUGCAGCUACAGCCUGCAAGUGUUAUAAGCUGACCAUGGUGGCAUCUCUGGUAUGAUCUAUACGGUGCAGUGUGUCGGAGCUGGCGGCCAGUGAUGCGUUGCGUGCGUGCUUCGGUUCUGUCGGCGUUGUUCAGGUGUCCAGUGUUCUCCAGCACGGUAUCAGUCAGCCUGUCCCCAUGCAGGCCUGAUGCCCGCCUAACAGUGUCGGCAGGCGGUGGCGUGCGUCGCGUCAAUUAUAACAAGGGCCAAUAGUCUGUGGUGUAGUGGUAGACUUCCACCUGACCCGUCUUGAAACACGGACCAAGGAGUUUAACAUGUGCGCGAGUCAUUGGGCGUUACGAAACCCAAAGGCGCAGUGAAAGUGAAGGCCUGCUUUUGCCAGGCUGAGGUGAGAUCCUGUCGUUUCUCGUGUCUGGCUUUGAAACCACCAAACAUUCGAUCGGUGGGCGCAUCACCUGCCCGUCUCAUGGUGUAGUUGCGCUGUCCUCGGACGGUGUACAACACCGGGGCGGAGCUAGAGCGUACAUGUUGAGACCCGAAAGAUGGUGAACUAUGCUUGCGCAGGUUGAAGCCAGAGGAAACUCUGGUGGAGGACCGCAGCGAUUCUGACGUGCAAAUCGAUCGUCUGACGUGAGUAUAGGGGCGAAAGACUAAUCGAACCAUCUAGUAGCUGGUUCCCUCCGAAGUUUCCCUCAGGAUAGCA
rnacentral:rRNA from 1 species